rnacentral:rRNA from 1 species
AAAUUGAAGAGUUUGAUCAUGGCUCAGAUUGAACGCUGGCGGCAGGCCUAACACAUGCAAGUCGAACGGUAACAGGAAGCAGCUUGCUGCUUUGCUGACGAGUGGCGGACGGGUGAGUAAUGUCUGGGAAACUGCCUGAUGGAGGGGGAUAACUACUGGAAACGGUAGCUAAUACCGCAUAACGUCGCAAGACCAAAGAGGGGGACCUUCGGGCCUCUUGCCAUCGGAUGUGCCCAGAUGGGAUUAGCUAGUAGGUGGGGUAAAGGCUCACCUAGGCGACGAUCCCUAGCUGGUCUGAGAGGAUGACCAGCCACACUGGAACUGAGACACGGUCCAGACUCCUACGGGAGGCAGCAGUGGGGAAUAUUGCACAAUGGGCGCAAGCCUGAUGCAGCCAUGCCGCGUGUAUGAAGAAGGCCUUCGGGUUGUAAAGUAC